AAUUUCAAUUUAUUACAACAACACUGCAAAGAAACCUCGCGUAAUUUUACAAAUUAGCAUGAGUCACAAAAUGUAAACAUCUCAUAGAUACUCUCAUCGAAUUGUCGAAGGUGACGAGAGCUUCACAUUCACUUAAUUUUUUAUAACAUUGUUUAUGUUGUACUUGACGUUCGUGAAUUUUGACGAAAUAAGUUAUGCUAUGCUUUGCUACUCGUUGUAAGUGAAUUUUGAGGAUAUUAGGAGACGUGUAUAACAACGAUUUUCAACGCAGUAAAGUAAAACCUUAGUUAAAAAUAGCGUUUAGCGGUAUUCACCAAAAUAAAUAUUGUAUCGUUUUUAAAUAGAACUUAAAAGGAUGAGUGGAAAUUUUCAAAUUUGAUUUUCUCAGUUCUUUGCAAAUAUUAAUAAAUCGAUUUAAACAUUCAAUAUUAUUAACUCAAUCAGUUCCGCAAAGGGAUUGAAGCAGUAUAGUGGUUCUCAAUCGACGAUUAAAAUUGGUACAAACAACAAAUGAGUUAUGCUAAUGAUGACUAGAGCAAGAUACCUGACCUUAUACAUUUUGCUCGUAACACCUUUAUAACGGUGUCAUCUGAUGACCUUUAAACUGUGGUAAUUAGCAAAAGCGAUUUAUCAUGCUCAAUCCGCUAGAUGAAAACGAAAACAAGAUGGUAAUGGGAUGUAAGGAUAUUGAAAAUUAGAUGAUAGGACCAUACAAUGGCAUUGAAAAACAUGUUUCACCUUUCACCACCUUGUUGUCAUCACCAAAUUAACAGUAUACAAAUUAGUUUAAUUUUCGUUCACGCGUGACGAAACUCGUGUCCGCUGCAUACUGCAAGAGUAACGUAUUGUGUACUAGUCAUCUUUGGUUAUGCUUAAAAACAUAUUGUUGAAACGACUAUGAAUGAUUGGUCAUACUAUCAUCAAAAUAAAUAAUUCAUAUCAUGGUCAUCUCACACAUUGACACUUAUUUUAGUCCUGUUGCAAUAAAUUAUUGUUAUUAUCUAGACCAUAUAGAUUAGUCUGUUAAAAACACCGCACAAAUCUGACCAAGCCUAAAAAGAUAGCAAUUACCUUAACAUUUUCCUGUGUGUGCUCAUUAAAUGUAGUUCACCCAACCGCCAUCAUACUCGGAGGGGCGCCACAUUUUUAUUGCCCGUUAAUCAUUUUAUUCAGUUGUUCGAAGACGUCAAAAAAUGAGUAGAAUUAAAUUGAUCAUGGCGGCAAAUUUACUCAAAAUUGGGUAACUGGUGCUCUCGUGUUGUUUUUGUUAUUUUUUUGCAAUUAAAAGCAAACAGCAAACCAAGCAAACCGUCUGAAAAAAGGAGGAAACAGAAUUGUUUGAAAUUAGUUGAUAUUAGUUGUAGGACUCGUUGGUUGGAUAUACGGCGAAUAAAUUCAAAGAUCUCCCGUGUCCCGGCGAACAAAGCAUGAAUAUUACCAAAUCGUUUGCUAAAAACUCACCAUAAGAAAACAGUAGCUCAAAAUUAGUUUUCCUAGUCAUUGGGGGGUCGGGCGAUUGCCUGUACCCCCUACGAGUGAGAUUCUAGCUACAAUUAGUAUGUUUGAACAAAUUAAAACAGAACCAAUGGGAUUCUAUACAGCAUAUCCACCUCCCCAGUCUGCUCAGACAGCGUUAACAACUAGUCGUACCGACCAAAAUCCGCAAUCUGUAAUUGCUAUAAAUGAAAACAAACCGGCAUUAAAUAACAAUGUACAAACUAUUACUACGCAACCAAUGAAUGUAAGUACCAUCACUAAUUACUUAUAUUCUAUUUCACGUUCCUUUUCACAUUUCUUUAUUUUUAAUCAAGUUUUGACUGCCAAAGCAACUAGGGUACCAGACUACUUCGGCAAGGUUUUAGCAGCUCUUAUGCAAGAACCUGCCGAAAGAGUCCUGUACAAGAAUGACGAAAAUCAGAGAACACCAGGAAUUUUUUUGAUCGGGGAAAUGAGAAAAUUUGAAAAGUUAUCAGGGAAACUCGCAAUGGCUUUAGAUUUUUUAAAUUAGUUUUGAAUUAAAUUUUUUCAGUGCAUUGGAUGUUGAAGCUCAACAUC